rnacentral:rRNA from 1 species
UACGAAGGGGGCUAGCGUUGUUCGGAAUUACUGGGCGUAAAGCGCAUGCAGGCGGAUCGCUAAGUCAGGGGUGAAAGCCCGAGGCUCAACCUCGGAACUGCCUUUGAUACUGGCGAUCUCGAGUCCGGGAGAGGUGAGUGGAACUGCGAGUGUAGAGGUGAAAUUCGUAGAUAUUCGCAAGAACACCAGUGGCGAAGGCGGCUCACUGGCCCGGUACUGACGCUGAGGUGCGAAAGCGUGGGGAGCAAACAGG